UGGAUGGAUAACUCUGCUUGCCACAUCCUUUUAGGGUUUGUUUUUUUUUUUUAAUUGGUUCAGGUUUUUUUAUAAGAAGGCAAUAAAGAGAAAUAUAAAAGAUCUACAUUGCCAAAUUGAGUCCUAGUUAAGUAAUAAAUGGGAUUUUUCUCUCAUUUGAAAGAGCUGAGAGUUAGGUGCCUUCCCUAACUGUCAGCAACCCGGAGAUGCUGGGGAGCUGUGGUCAGUGACUGGCCCAGCAACCUUCACACGCGAUUCCCAGCGCUCACCUUAAUUGGAUGCGCUGUUAAUCCCUGUUCACUAACACGACCUGAAUGCACAGAUAAGUAAACACAUUCUUCCCAGAGGGUGCAAUCAUUUUUUAAUCUACUUUCUCUGCGGUAGGCCAUGGUUCCAGAGAGACUGCUUGAGAAUUAAAUUUCUCUUAAGAGAAAAAUAAGCAAAACUGGCCUCAAGAUUUUUCCUCCUGAUCAGUAAAGUCACAGGAAGGAAAGAGAAAGGGGAACAAGAGGGCUCAGAAAAAGCAGUGAAUGACACCAGCUAUGGACAAAACACAAAUACCCAGAAUUUAGAUACUUACCCAUAGUCAACUAUUGGCUACAGGGUAUAAAAGAUAUGAGGCUUUAUUGGACAGAAUGCAAAAGACUUCAAGAUGUUAGUGAUUCAAAAGCAGGUGCUCAUGGAAAUCACCCAGAGAGCUUCUGAAGCCCCAUCCCAGGUUGUAAUUUCCAGGAAUAUGUAGGAAGAAAAUACAUGCCAGUCUCCCUGGGGAAAAGUCCGAUUUUAUACCUUUUAGAUAACAAUUCGUGCCUGUUAAUUAUUUUUAACUUCCCCUUUUAUGCCUUAAGUAUCCUAGUUUGGGUGGUGAAAGGUAGAGUGUAUUAGAACAAGGGAAACUCAGGAAAAUUGAGUAACUCACCAAAAUGGCCUAACACUCACCUUAAAUACCAUCUAUAGAUAAAUGGGGGUAGUAGUUUGGGACUUCUAAGGGAAGGAAGGCCAGUGUUUGGUAAAUAAAUAUUUGCUGGACCAUGCAGAGCCAAUAGGAGGCAGGUGGACUCUGACUGCUGGGCCCCGCUGAGUUUUCCCCACCACAACUAGCACAUAUUUUUUAUAGAUGUGAUGGUUCUAUUUCAGAACAUAUCCUCUGUGUAAAUUGUUUUAGGCAGUUAGGGGGAAGGUCAAAGUCUCCUCUAAGUCUUUUGGGCCUUGACUGUUUUCAGCUCAAAAUAACCAUCAUGCCAAAGAAACAUUUGGGGGUGGCAAAUUUCAUUUCCCCGAAAAAAUGUCAGUCAGAACCAUCUCAAUCCAAUAUUCAAGCUUCAGUUGUGUGAAAACUUCCAAUAACAAGCACGGGAGAACCUUAAUUCCUUUCCUCUUGGAAACCCCCAGGUCAGGGUCCACACUGCCACUUUCUACCCUGCUACACGCUCUGAAUACCAAGGAGGUCUUAAGAAGAGUGGCCUUUGACAAACCACCAAAAAUUUCCUGUGCAACUCUGUGUCCAGAAUGCUGGCUGCAUCCUCCCUUUUCCUUUACAUUUAAUUAUCUAAAGGGGGCCAACCAAAUAUCCCCGUGCAAAACAGCAGUUUCAACAAACAUCUCUGGAGAAGCUCUUGCAUCUUCUCAAUGAUUGCUUCCUCCACUAAAGUUCUGACCAAAUAAGCACUGCCAGAUAAAUACAGGGAACCCAGUUAAACCUGAAAAGCAGAUAAACAACAAUUUCUUUUUAGUAUAUGAAUGUCCCAUGUAAUAUCUGGGAUAUACUCAGACUAAAGACAGUAUUCCUUGCUUCUCUGAAAUUGACAUUGAACCAGAUGUUCCGUAUUUUUGUGUGCCUCAUCUGGCAGUCAUAAACUACCUGACAGCUCUACCACCAUAUACAGUACUCAGUCACACCCAUUCAUCUGGUCCAAGUUCACACCAAAGGAGGAGCAGAACCAGAGUCUGUGCAGCUCAAGGUUAGAUAGCAAACAUGUUUUACUCUGACUUAUGGAUGACAAUGGUUAUUAUGAAUAAGAUGGUGUUGGGCUGCACCCCGAGGGCCUGCAAGGCCUGUACUUGCCCGGCUUCAAGACUAAAGAAAGAGCCUGGAGUCAGCGACAGAGGCAUCAGAGGUUUAAUGGAUAGAGGGAGCUUAGUCAUCUGAUGAAAGGUGACACCCCACCACGUGAGGCAGACAUGUCUGCAGAUUCACUCCCUGGGAGCAAGGGAAAGUUUCCAGUCAGAGGGGGCAUUGACCCCGGAUGGGCUCAUCACUUACGGGGAAACCAGCAGUGGGGGCAUGCCCCUCACCACCCCUCUGACAAGCUGUCAGAGUGGAGAUGUUCUGAUCUAAAAAAGUUAGAACAAUCAUUAGCCUGGAGUAAGUAUGUAGGAAGGUCAGUCAUAGGGUGUAGGAGAAGCAGGCACUGCUGGAGGAGGGGAUGUACAGAGAGCAAGAGAGCAGCCAUCUUGAGUGGCCUGACUCUGCAUAUGAAUAGGACCAUGUGAGGUGAAAAGGGUGCAUCACUUUGAAAGUUUUGCCCAGGCAAGGCAGCACUCCCUAGACUCACGCAAUUUCUGACUUCUACCCUUGGCGUCCCCACACCAAGUUCCCUUGAAAUACUCCCCUCUGUAGGAUACCCUCCCUUGGUGAACUGAUUUAUAUACAGCAGUCUACCACCAACACCUAUCAGGCUAAAUGAAUCUCAUCUUAUAUUUCAAUCACAAUUCUUUUAAAAAUGCUAUUUUGAGAGAUGUGAAAACUCCUCCAGGAAAUUCUGACAUAAAUCAUUAAUAGUUAUGGUAUUUGAAAUUUUAAUUUACACAAUGAAGGUUAUUCUCUGUUUUUGUAUGAAGGCACAGGUAUGCAUAUAAACACAUAAUUGCUGUGACUGAUCUUUGCUGCCCUGAAGCCAAAUCUUCCGGUGUCAUUUGAAUGGAGGAUACCACCAAACCUUGCUCAGUGGAUAUCUUUUUAAAAUGGCAAAAUCAGGACUUGAAUUCAUUUAGACCCUGUGCACAAAUAGCAUAUGAAGAGCAUAGAAUUGCCACCUGCCAUUGCUCAGGAGUAUCCUGGAUCACGUCCCAAACCCCGGGCUUCUCCCUGACAGAUGCUCUGGUUCUAACUGCAGAGUAUCUCUUUAAUCCGUUUCACAAACUCGUCACAUUCAUGUGUUCUUAGGUACCCAUCAAAUAUUGGGAAAUGUACUCAGGCUUGUAUUCCCAGACUUUGUUAUAACCCAAAUCCUUCUAAUUAGAGACAUAGGACUUGUUAAUAAGAACCUCUAUAUUAGAUUUGUCAUUAUUUAAAAAUUAAUAAACUAUUUUAUUAUCUUAGCAGAGAGAAGCUCAUACAAUGAGCAGAAAAUUGCUCACCUUUAUGACUGUUCCAAUUCUUCUAUACCAUGAGAAGCCCUUCUCUCUCUCUCUCUCUCUCCCUCCAUACAGACACAGACACAUAGACACACACACACACACACACACACACACACACAUUUUUUUUUCUAUGAUUCAAUAACAUGGAAGUAGCACUAGUCACCUGUACUAAGCUUGACAGUUCACCACAGAAUAGCUGCAGAAAAUAUAGACAAGUAAGUGCACAGAAUCUCCCAAGAUUAGAGGGGCUAAGGGCAGAGAACCAAUAGCUGGUAGUCCACACCUAGAGCUACUGUCUUCUCAUCCUUGCACAGGUUUGCUACUCAGCAAGUAUCUCCCUUCCUAUAGUGCAACCUUCUUCUAUAAUCUUGACACUUUCCUUCCAGGCAGAAGGAGCUGGGCAUGUAAACAACAUGAUUUUUAUCAGCUAAGCAUUGACUGUAGGUCCCCAAAGCAUCCAAACAAUUUCCUGUAAUUUCCUGUUCCUGUAAAUGCUUUUUAACUGUGACCCAAAUGACAACUGUCCUCCUUUCAUCCUCCUUAAGCUCUUCCUGCUUGAAGAACCUACUCGAUUUCCAUGAGAUAAAUAUCCCAGGCAGAGACUCUAUAAGUACCAGAGUGUACAGAGAGCUGGAUGAGGGCAAGAACGGGUCUGUUUUCUUGCAUUGUUUCAUUAGCAUCUAGUCGAGAUGGUGACUCAUAAAUGCUCCAAGUGCACUCAAGAGAAAAAGAAAUAUACCUUUGGACCCUACACACAUAUGGUCAAGUAAAACCAAUUAUCUCAUUUAUUCAAACAACUAUUACUAUACUUUUCCAAUAAUCUUGAGUAAUUCAGCCAUCUAGAAAGGUAUUCUGAUAUCAGUAAUUCUGCAGAGUUUAUAGUAAGAGGUCUUUUGUUUUUUGGUUGUUGUUUUUUGUUUUUGUUUUUUUUGCUUUCUACAGCCACACCUGUGCCAUAUGGAAGUUCCCAGGCCUACACCACAGCCACAGCAAUGCCAGAUCCCAGCCACAUCUACAAGCUACACUGCACCUUGCAGCAAAUCCUUAACCCACUGAUCGAGGCCAGGGAUCAAACCCACAUCCUCAUGGAUACUAGUCAGGUCCUUAACUCACUAAGCCACAACGGAAACUCCAAGAGUUUUCUUUUUUUUUUAAUAUCUCAUUUUUCCUCCUUUACUUUCUAUAUUGUUAUUCAUUUAAUGUCUAUUGAGUAUUCAGUAUGUGUAAGAAAAGCUGUAUUAGGUGCUGUACAUGCCUCAAGUUUUUAAACUUCCUUAACAGUCCAGUAAAGAUUCUCUCUUUUCUUUGAGCAAAGAUAUUUAAAGACCCCUAAGAAGUAAGUCAAUAAUGUUUACAACGUUUUAAUCUUUUUUAGCUGCCAAAUGCAAAAUAUUCUAAUCUCUGAAAUUUUUUUCUACAACAGAAGAUAAUUUUCCCCAAUUAUAAGAAAUUUUAGAGAUUUUUAGGGGACAGACUUUCUAUCAAGAAAAGUUAUGUUGGAAGUUCCCGUCAUGGCUCAGCGGUUAGCGAACCCUACUAGCAUCCUUGAGCAUGGUUUUGCUCAGUGGGUUAAGGAUCCGGCGUUGCCAUGAGCUGUGGUGUAGGUCGCAGAUGCGCCCCGGAUCCGGAGUUGCUGUGGCUGUGGCUGUGGCCGGCAGCUACAGCUCUGACUGGACCCCUAGCCUGGGAACCUCCAUAUGCCUCAGGUGAGGCCCU
rnacentral:lncRNA from 1 species